GAGUGUGCAGUUCAGUGGUAGAGAGGCUGACUGCAAAUCAGCAGAUCUUCAGUUCAAAUCCGGGCGCGCCCU